rnacentral:RNase_P_RNA from 1 species
CCAGACGGUUGCGUACAGCUUGCUGUAUGAGGAAAGUCCGAGCAGCGCAGAGCAGGAUAACGGCUAACGGCCGCCAAGGGUGACCUUCGGGACAGUGCAACAGAAAUAAACCGCCUGACUCGUUCAGGCAAGGGUGGAAAGGCGAGGUAAGAGCUCACCGAGCGGGUGGUAACAUCCGCUGCCAUGUAAACCCUAUCCGCUGCAACACCGACCGGGGAGUUGUCUGCUCGACACAUAACCCCGACGGGUGGCUUGAGCGUGGUGGUAACAUCACGUCGAGAUAGAUAACCGUCCACGACAGAACUCGGCUUACGGGUAA